rnacentral:rRNA from 1 species
CGAACGUGGGUAACCUGCCCAUCAGAGGGGGAUAACAUUCGGAAACGGAUGCUAAAACCGCAUAGGUCUUCGAACCGCAUGGUUUGAAGAGGAAAAGAGGCGCAAGCUUCUGCUGAUGGAUGGACCCGCGGUGCAUUAGCUAGUUGGCGAGGUAACGGCUCACCAAGGCCGUGAUGCAUAGCCGACCUGAGAGGGUGAUCGGCCACAUUGGGACUGAGACACGGCCCAA